rnacentral:lncRNA from 1 species
UGGGUGCCACUCCACCAGCGUCACUCUUUGAGAUAACACUUGGCAUAGGCAAUGACAAAGAUUUUUACGAUGUCAGCAUCGUGGACGGCUAUAAUUUGCCAAUUGUUGCUGUGCCACGGGGAGUGCACGGCACGUGUAAUGCCACUGGCUGCUCUUCAGACAUAAACUUGGGUAAGAACUAAAGCUCUGUUUGAAAUAAAUUUACAAAAUUUAUAAUUCAACUAGAGUAGUACAAAUUUUAUUAUAGGAUCAUAAAUAUUGAGUUCAUAAAGAUUCGGAUUUACAAAUAAAUUCUAGGAAGCCUAUAAAUUUGUUUUAAAUGUAGAAUAAGGGCUAAAAUUAAACAAUGAUUCCAAUAGUAAGGAAAGGAUGGUACCUGAUCUGAAUCGGUGAAAAUUCUAUGAAAACAAUCAAACAUAGGUUGUCCAAGAGAGCUUCAGGUCGUUGGAGGAGAUGGUGAAAGACAAGGGGGAGUAGUUGCUUGUAAGAGUGCAUGUGAAGCAUUCGGGCUUGACCAGUACUGCUGCAGCGGCAACUUUGCUAACCCAACAACCUGCCGGCCUUCAUUUUAUU